GACGAACGCUGGCGGCGUGCUUAACACAUGCGAGUCGAACGGAAAGGCCUUUUCGGUGGUACUCGAGUGGCGAACGGGUGGGUAACACGUGGGUGAUCUGCCCUGCACUCUGGGAUAAGCCUGGGAAACUGGGUCUAAUACCGGAUAGGACCGCACUUUAGCGUGUGUGGUGGGAAGGUGUUUCGGUGUAGGAUGGGCCCGCGGCCUAUCAGCUUGUUGGUGGGGUAAUGGCCUACCAAGGCGGCGGCGGGUAGCCGGACUGGGGGGUUGGUCGGCCCCAGUGGGACUGGGGUACGGCCCAGACUCCUACGGGGGGCAGCAGUGGGGAAUAUUGCACAAUGGGCGCAAGCCUGAUGCAGCGACGCCGCGUGGGGGAUGACGGCCUUCGGGUUGUAAACUCCUUUCGCCAGGGACGAAGCGUUUUGUGACGGUACCUGGAGAAGAAGCACCGGCUAACUACGUG
rnacentral:rRNA from 1 species